rnacentral:misc_RNA from 1 species
GAAAUGCGAUACGUAGUGUGAAUUGCAGAAUUCCGUGAAUCAUCGAAUCUUUGAACGCAUAUUGCGCCCGAGGCCUCUGGCCAAGGGCAUGUCUGCCUCAGCGUCGGCCCAUCCCCUCACAACCCCUUCCCAGUCGCUCCAUUGGAGCCUGGCGGGGGCUGUGGAUCUGGCCGUGUCGGCCGCUGCCCUCUCUCCCUGCCGGGAAGUGGGCAUGCGGCCGAGUCGGCUGAAGCUCAGAGGCCUGAGCAAGAGCCCAUUCAACCGGGCAUCAACAAGGUGGGUGGCCCUCUGGGCUGCAUUGCCGUUGAUGACCGGGGGACUUGCUGGGGGCCUGCAGGAACACCGGCCCUUUACACUGCCGGUGCCGACCAAACUUUUCGACCUGAGAUCAGGCAAGAAC